GUUACUUUCAGAGCCGACUUGUCUUUAAAUUCUCCCUUCAGUUUGAAAGAAAAGCCAGAAGCUCUCCAGCUGGCAGCAAAUUUCUAAACACGGGAGAAGAAGAGCAGUGCUUGCAGCUACUGAGUAUAUUGUGCACUGACGAUGUUCUGUGACUGGUCUGUUUUAAUAAAUGACAACUGGAACACAAGUAACAAAAUACCUACAAAGCAUGGCUUCACUGUGAUCAGAACAUUUUCCAGGUGUUCUGAUAAUUCAGGAGAAAAAGAAAAGCAAAUUUGAAAAACAAAAUGAGAUACCAUGCAGAAUUAGUAAUGUAUUAGACACAAAUCAUCUUGGUUUGUUUUCCUCUCUGGAUGACACCCUGGCAAUCUCUGGAGGCCUGAUGCUUGGAAGAGCUCUUCCAACGUGCAGUUUGUGUUGGACAAAAUGUGAGCUUGGUGCUCAGUGGGCAGAAAGCCCUGUGCAAUGAUGGGAAGUUCUGGCUGAGCUCCUUUGGAUACAAAACUCCUCCAGACUCAUUAAGUCGUGCAUGAUUGUGUGAGGGACUUACACAAAAGCCUGUGAGGUGCCUAUUGGCUGGAGACCAGCAAGUUCUGCAUUUUUCCUAGAGAGUCUUGGCUGGCUUUGGGCAAAAGGACGUCAGG
ensembl:lncRNA